GGAGGUUGCAAGCGUUGUUCGGAUUAACUGGGCGUAAAGGGAGCGCAGGCGGUCUGGUAAGUCUGGAGUGAAAGCCCGGGGCUCAACCCCGGAAGUGCUUCGGAUACUGCCAAACUUGAGUACGUGAGAGGAGAGCGGAAUUCCAGGUGUAGCGGUGAAAUGCGUAGAUAUCUGGAGGAACAUCGGUGGCGAAAGCGGCUCUCUGGCACGAAACUGACGCUGAGGCUCGAAAGCGUGGGGAGCGAACGGGGGAUUAGAUACCCCGGUAGUCCACGCCGUAAACGUUGUGCACUAGGUGUGGGAGGUAUCGAUCCCCUUCCGUGCCCGAAGCUAACGCAUUAAGUGCACCGCCUGGGGAGUACGGUCGCAAGACUG
rnacentral:rRNA from 1 species